rnacentral:SRP_RNA from 1 species
UGGUGAACUAGGCCGGGGGGCCGAGCGUCCCCUGUAACCAUAAACCGCUCUUAUGAUGGAGCCGAAGCCCGGGGGGCGAGAUAUUAAUCAGUUAUCGGUCUGGAUUUCCGCCCAUGAUUCUUCGUCUCGCUGGACUUUCUGCAGUGAGAAACUGGUCAGACCCUGACGGGAGCAGCCAUAACCAUUGCAGGGGGUGCUUGCGGGGUCAGCGGAGAUGAGAAAGAAUCCAGGCAGCCGGUAGCCGAGGCGUAUUUCCACCUCCGGGUGCGUUCACCA